rnacentral:rRNA from 1 species
AGUGAACGCUGGCGAUAGGCCUAACACAUGCAAGUCGAACGGCAGCACAGUAAGAGCUUGCUCUUACGGGUGGCGAGUGGCGGACGGGUGAGGAAUACAUCGGAAUCUACUUUUUCGUGGGGGAUAACGUAGGGAAACUUACGCUAAUACCGCAUACGACCUACGGGUGAAAGCAGGGGAUCUUCGGACCUUUCGCGAUUGAAUGAGCCGAUGUCGGAUUAGCUAGUUGGCGGGGUAAAGGCCCACCAAGGCGACGAUCCGUAGCUGGUCUGAGAGGAUGAUCAGCCACACUGGAACUGAGACACGGUCCAGACUCCUACGGGAGGCAGCAGUGGGGAAUAUUGGACAAUGGGCGCAAGCCUGAUCCAGCCAUACCGCGUGGGUGAAGAAGGCCUUCGGGUUGUAAAGCCCUUUUGUUGGGAAAGAAAAGCAGCAGGUUAAUACCCCGCUGUUCUGACGGUACCCAAAGAAUAAGCACCGGCCAACUUCGU